rnacentral:lncRNA from 1 species
CUCCUCUACCAUUUCAAGUGUUUGCGCCGCAGCCUCCCUUUCUCUGCCGUUCUCCCAACUUCGACCAGAUGACGACGAAUGAGGGCGCCCAACGACGGUAAUCCUCCUUUCCCUCUUCUCUUAAUUUAUUUUUGUUUUAGGAAAACCAAAGAAAAAAAACAAAAUAAAGUAAAAACAGUAAAAGACACAAAAGGGGAAAAAAACAAAAUUCGUUACCUUCCAAAAUCAUUUUUUUUCUUGUAUUUUCUUGUUAAUUUCCUUUAAUUUUCAAUACCAAAAUUUGCUAACCCCCUUUACAGAUUUGAUUCCCCCUUUAUACAAUCGAAAAUCCCUGUUUUUCGUUUUCUCCCCACCUCCUCUGUUCGUGGCUUAUUUGUUGCAGGUGGAUAUUAGAGGAGGCGUGCGUGACGUGCGUACGGGGUUGAACAUGGGUGAAAACAGUUGCUGCGACGUGGGCAGAUGGGGUCGUUGCUGCAGAUGGAGAACGUGCGGCUCGCCCUAGGGCUUCUACUUCCAUUGCUGCUGAAAACAUGUUGUGGGCUAGGAUUACUUUUGGGCCAAUUGGGCCAAAUGUAUUUGGGUCGUUGCUUAUUUUGGUAGGCUAAAUGUUGGGACUGAUGUAGUGUGGGCUUUAGGUUUAGUUGGGCCGGGGCAAAAUUUAGGUCUUACAGUAUUUUCUGAAAGUAAUAAAAUCUAAAAAUAAGAAAAAUACGAACAAAUGGUCAAAAUAAGGGUUUUUUACUAA